GACGAACGCUGGCGGCGUGCCUAAUACAUGCAAGUAGAACGCUGAAGGAGGAGCUUGCUUCUCUGGAUGAGUUGCGAACGGGUGAGUAACGCGUAGGUAACCUGCCUGGUAGCGGGGGAUAACUAUUGGAAACGAUAGCUAAUACCGCAUAACAGUAGAUAUCGCAUGAUAGCUGCUUGAAAGGUGCAAUUGCACCACUACCAGAUGGACCUGCGUUGUAUUAGCUAGUUGGUGAGGUAACGGCUCACCAAGGCGACGAUACAUAGCCGACCUGAGAGGGUGAUCGGCCACACUGGGACUGAGACACGGCCCAGACUCCUACGGGAGGCAGCAGUAGGGAAUCUUCGGCAAUGGACGGAAGUCUGACCGAGCAACGCCGCGUGAGUGAAGAAGGUUUUCGGAUCGUAAAGCUCUGUUGUAAGAGAAGAACGAGUGUGAGAGUGGAAAGUUCACACUGUGACGGUAUCUUACCAGAAAGGGACGGCUAACUACGUGCCAGCAGCCGCGGUAAUACGUAGGUCCCGAGCGUUGUCCGGAUUUAUUGGGCGUAAAGCGAGCGCAGGCGGUUAGAUAAGUCUGAAGUUAAAGGCUGUGGCUUAACCAUAAUACGCUUUGGAAACUGUUUAACUUGAGUGCAAGAGGGGAGAGUGGAAUUCCAUGUGUAGCGGUGAAAUGCGUAGAUAUAUGGAGGAACACCGGUGGCGAAAGCGGCUCUCUGGCUUGUAACUGACGCUGAGGCUCGAAAGCGUGGGGAGCAGACAGG
rnacentral:rRNA from 1 species